rnacentral:lncRNA from 1 species
GGCAUCCCCAGAUUCUCUUUCUGGGAUGGAAAAUCCAGUCCUACUAUAAGUGUCUAAGGAAGCAUAUCUGUUUUCUCUGCAUCCCAAGCCAUAGUUAUCUCAGGAGAGAGUCUAUUUUUCUGAACUAUUUUACUCCCAAUUAUUUUGGGGUCUUUUGGAGACUCAGUCCCACAGUAUUCCACUACUGGGGAGGCUUGCAGUCAUCAAGGCCACAGGUUGGAACUGGAUAGGCCGAGUUUCCUGAUCUUAGGAGCAUUUAAAGAUCCUUAUUUUUUUUUUUAAUCUUCUCAGGAUUAUUAUUGGAAAUCCUUCAGUGGAAGAAUGGUGAGAAAAUACAAGAUAUUUCCAGAAGCAUCCCUGGUCCAGUUGCCUCCAAAAGAUUUUUGUCAACAGUCCAAGUUUGUGCUGCUACCAUGUCCUCCUCAUAGGAUAGCACCAUUGUGGCAUCGAGGCCAGCAGUCCAGGGCAGAGCAGAUGUCAUGCCUCAGCCACGAGGUCCAAACCACCAGCUCAUCACUCACACCUUACCAGAGAGCUUCAUCUGCACAGCUACCAUGCCCCAGUGAUCACCACUGCCACCUCCACCAUCGAUCAACACCCCGGAACCAGCACCACCACCACCAUCACCCUCGUGCGGUCCUCAUCCUUGAUGUUAGCACCGACCUUGGCCUCCACCUUUACGUCUUCAUUUGCCUUUGCCUCGACCUGUACCUCCAAAACCACUUCCAUCCUUCACUGACUGGAGGGUCAAGAAACGGGCUAAGCUUCCUCAUCAUGUAGAAUGCAAGGCUAAGACUGCAGCUGUAAAAACCUCAUUGUCCCAGUAUGUCCCCAGAUGGCCUCAGCUGUGAGAGGAAGCUACCCUGGUUACCCAGGUGAAACCCCACCACAUCGAGGGCAUCAAACAAGGACUUCUGCCCUGCACAGAGGCAGGAUUAUAUUACUUCCACCUGAACAUCAUUCUAGGCUCACAGGUGUGAAACCAACCAAUUUGUCCAAGAACAAAGCUUCCAAGGAGUAAUAUCCUGACCCUUUUCCUGAGGACACAGCUACAAUGUUAGGAUUCUUUGACCAUCUUCCUGGGCCUCAAAAUCAGACACAAGUGACAAAGAUGCAUAGAAGAGCAGUCACUUCAUGCUUCAUCACUGUAUCUUCAUCACUUCACAAAGACCAUGCCAGGGCCACAAAGGCUUGUGUACCAUACUCCAUCUACUGUGUUACAGAUAGGUGCAGGUCAUCUCAUCACCACCUCACCCCCAGGCUAGAGCAGCAGCUAUACCAUCACCAGACUUUGAACUGUGGAACCUUUAACUGUUACCAUCCAUGUCUAGAGCACUGGGCCAAGGUCACCUCUAUACCUUUCAUAGAUCCAACUCAUAAUGGUUAAGGCUCCGCUAGGCCCUGAUUAUAAGGCCAAGUAUAAAACUGAGCCAUAGCAAUACCCUGACCACCAAGUUGUACCUCCACUAGGCAUGACCAUUUGGCUGACGUUUUCAUGGACCUCAACCACCAAGCUAUUAUAAUAACAUCAAUAGACUUGGACACCUGGCUUGAAGCAAUUGUUAUCCAAAAGUCUGGACUAUAACAACAUUAACUCCGAGUCUAAAUAGGGUUUUGAGCUGUCGGGCUUUGCCAAGUCUAGAUAAUAAUGGGGCAAGGGACCCAGUACUUUGAUAUCAUCCUACCGAUUGACUGUAACACACACCUCAUUUGGACAUAGGCCAUAAAAUUGAACUUGCUCUGAACACUGAAAUCUAGGCCAUAUAAACAUGAGGACUGAGAAAUUGGGCGAAGAAUCCCCUUUGUCUUGAAGACUAGAGCUGUACCUUCACUGGAUCCCCCACAUUAAGUUCAGGCUGGUUGAGACAGUGACAUUCAGGCCAUAUCUCUCUAAAGCUAGGAUGGACCUGAGAGGCUAUACAGAGUCCUGAUUGCCAGGGUACCAUGGCAUAGUGCCAGGACUACCAGGCCAAAUUUCUAGUAGGUCUCGAAUAUUUGGACAAAUUGCUACCAGAAUUAGGCCAGCAAGCUGAAGAUAUACAGGGUUCUGUCCUCUGGAUGUUUUCUCCAUUAGAUCCCAGGGUGCAGAUUCACUGGACCUGGAUGUCUACAUAGGGUCAUUUAGGUCACAAAGCUCUGCUCUUCCCAGACCUCUAAGACCUAAAUAAAGGCCUUAACACAAAGUGUUCUGCUCA